rfam:Vigna angularis cultivar Jingnong 6 scaffold39_20, whole genome shotgun sequence.
AAGGCUUUAAUUUUCUUUGAGAUUUUCGCUUGCACUUGUUUCAAGUGUUUUGCGUAGUUUAAUUGAAGCCGAAAUGCGUGUUCCCCUCGCUAUCCAUUGUUGCAAUUUGAUGCUGCAUUUGGACGUCGGGGAACUAAAUCC